ensembl:rRNA 5S_rRNA 5S ribosomal RNA
GUCUAUGGCCAUACUACCCUGAAUGCGCCCGAUCUCUUCUGAUCUCAGAAGCUAAGCAGGGUCAGGCCUGGUUAGUACUUGGAUGGGAGAACACUUGGACACAGGAAGGGGAACAUC